rnacentral:rRNA from 1 species
UCUUGAACUUACGUCUUAUUCAUCAACCCAUUGCAUGUCUCAGAAUGUAAACAUAUGUCCUCGCCUUAAAAAGCGUUGAUAAACUUAUACAACUUUCAACAACGGAUCUCUUGGCUCUCGCAUCGAUGAAGAACGCAGCGAAAUGCGAUAAGUAAUGUGAAUUGCAGAUUUUCAGUGAAUCAUCGAAUCUUUGAACGCACCUUGCGCUCCUUGGUAUUCCGAGGAGCAUGCCUGUUUGAGUGUCAUUAAAUUCUCAACUCCGAUCGAUUUGUUUCGACCUCGGAGCUUGGACUUUGGAGUGUGCUGGCGUCGGUCGGCUCCUCUCAAAUGCAUCAGCGGAAUCUAACGUUUCGGACGUCAGUGUGAUAAUCACGUUGCGCUGUCAACCGAUCCUGAAAGGCCCGCUCAUAAUGGUCUUCGGACAACUUCAUAUCAAAUUUGACCUCAAAUCAGGUAGGACUACCCGCUGAACUUAAGCAUAUCAAUAAGCGGAGGAAAAGAAACUAACAAGGAUUCCCCUAGUAACUGCGAGUGAAGCGGGAAAAGCUCAAAUUUAAAAUCUGGUGGUCUUUGACUAUCCGAGUUGUAACCUAGAGAAGCGUUAUCCGCGUUGGACCGUGUAUAAGUCUCCUGGAAUGGAGCGUCAUAGAGGGUGAGAAUCCCGUCUUUGACACGGACUACCAGGGCUUUGUGAUGCGCUCUCGAAGAGUCGAGUUGUUUGGGAAUGCAGCUCUAAAUGGGUGGUAAGUUCCAUCUAAAGCUAAAUAUUGGCGAGAGACCGAUAGCGAACAAGUACCGUGAGGGAAAGAUGAAAAGAACUUUGGAAAGAGAGUUAAACAGUACGUGAAAUUGUUGAAAGGGAAACGCUUGAAGUCAGUCGCAUUGACUUGGGAUCAACCUUGCUUCUGCUUGGUGCAUUUCCUGGUCGAUGGGUCAGCAUCAAUUUUGACCAGUGGAAAAAGUUCAAGGGAAUGUGGCAUCUCCGGAUGUGUUAUAGCCUUUGUUCGUAUACAUUGGUUGGGAUUGAGGAACUCAGCACGCCGCAAGGCCGGGUUUUUAACCACGUUCGUGCUUAGGAUGCUGGCAUAAUGGCUUUAAUCGACCCGUCUUGAAACACGGACC